UCUAAAAGAUAGCAAGUCAAUAACAUUUCUAACAUCUGGACAAUGGAGGAUGACCGGGGGGAUGUGGUUAGUGUCCGCUGCAUGGGGCUUGCAGAAACCGCAAUACAGAUACAUAGAACUGAUCUGCAGCCGAUGAAAUUUGUGCAAGAAACCUGCAAAUGAAAUCAUUGAAAAUAAAGCCUCAUUCCCACGUCCGUGCUGAAAUCUGUGAAAAGAUGGUCAGUGAUGCCUCUGUCAAGACAUCCAUUACGAUCUCUACUUGCUGUCUGAAAAAAUGAAAAGGAAUUUCUAGUUUGAAAUCUUGCCCUGAACUAAUCCUGUUGGCACAGCUGAGGGUUUGUUACCAUGUGCCAGAGCUAUAAACUCGACAAAGGUAUAAACUUUCCUACUGUCCUAUCUACAUUGCUGCAUUUUAGCAAGCCCAUCACCUGUGUGAGCAUUCCUGUUCACUGACAGCAAUAAGAAGUCUUGAUAAUAGUGAGGAAUGGAAACACAAAGUAGGAAAGUUGCAGUUUUUAUUGUACAGUGUUCAUGGAAGACUGAACUGGCCCUUUAAGAGAUCAGUGAGUCUAAUAUUAAAGGGGCAACUGAGUUUUUAUUGUUUUAAAGGGAACACUCUAUAAGCCACUCUAUAAGCAGGACACCGAGGGCCGGGUUAUCUGUAAAUUCUCAAAACCCACCACCCACAGGGUAUAGGGAGCUGGAGAAAGGGGCGAGCUCCUCUUGUCCAGCGCUAGCGCUCGUGACUCAUCAAUGGUGGGAGCCUUAAUAACGUAGCAAUAUGUAACCAACAAGAUCUAAACUUCUAUCUAAAGAGGAAAUAAGCAGGGGCUGCAGUCUGAAGAGCUGGUGGUCUGUGCCGCUCGAGGACACAGAGAUGAAAAAAGAUGAGUGGAUGGAUCAGACGCGCAGGAGGAAGAGCCGCUGAAAGCUCAGAUGCUUCUUUCGGCCCCAUCUACAGGCUGAGAUAUUGCAUCAGAAAUCAAUGAGCCUCGUAUUAAACACAGAAAGGGUCACUAGGUUCUAACACAAGCUUGAAAGGAUCCUACAUUUUUUACUAAAGAAAUUAUAGACUGGAACUGAAGCCGGGCUCUCAGGAGACACGUUUGUAAGCCAGGUCAGGGGAAGGUGAUAGCGGCGAUGUUACUCAUGAAAAGUUUCAUUAAAAGAUGGGGGAAAACUACAUCUAGAGGUGACUAUGAAACUUAUUUAUAUUGAAAGGAAUAUAUACUGUCUGAAAAGCUGCCGACACAAUGGAGACUUUACCAAUGAUGAUACAACUUCUAAUGUGUAAGAUACAAUGGACGUUAUCAUGUACUGAGAAAACAUGCAAUGUAUAAUGUGCCCAUACCAGAUACAAUGUACAGACACCAGAUACAAUGUGCCCAUAAAGGGAUAUAAUGUAUAAUGUACUGAUACCGAAUACAAUAUAUAAUAUACAAACAUCAUGUAUAAUGUACUGAUAACGAAUGCAAUGUACACUGGAUACAAUGUACAGACACCGGAUACAAUGUAUAAUGUGCCCAUACCGGAUACAAUAUAUAAUCUACAAACACCAGGUAUAAUGUACUGAUAACGAAUGCAAUGUAUAAUGUACUGAUACCGGAUACAACAUAUAAUGUACAAACACCGGAUACAAUGUAUAAUGUACUGAUAGAGAUAUACAGAUAGAGAAUGAGACCCUGCACAAGUUGACUCUUUUCUACCUGUUUGCAAACUGACUGUGACAAGAGACAUUGUGGGAUGAGAACUUACUAUUGUUUUGGCUUUUUUGAAUAAACCCUUAUGCUGCAUCCAAUCCUGCUAGUUGCCUACCAUUUGUAAAGCUAAUGCCCACAGUACUGGCACCAGAUCCGGUGUCAGUACCUUAUACAAUGUAUUAUUAUUAUUUAUUAUUACAGCGCCAUUCCUUCCAUAGCGCUGUACAUAUGAUAAGCGGUGCACAUACAUAAUACAGACAAUUG